rnacentral:rRNA from 1 species
AUGAGUUCUUCAGGAAGCACCAGUGUGGAGAUGCGCAGACUAAUUAGAUAUGAUACAAAUGUAGUCAAAAACCUGAAGGCUGUUCUGAACAUGGAUAUGAAGAGCAGCGUUGGUAUCAUACAGCUAAAGAUGCGAGCAAUAGAGGUUCUUAUACAACUAGCCUUGCAUCAUCCAGCAAGUACUUCUGCUACAGUGAUAAGAGAACAUCUUGUUGUGCGAGCGCUACACUACUUCCUACAAGAUUGGAUGGGGGAUUAUUUGAAAGAUGAGAAAAUGAGGAUCGAGCACCAAAGUACAAACCAACAAAAUCCUUUACCAGUACCUUCAACGGGAUCACGUAUGGAUAAUCACGUUCUCACUGGCAAUGCAGUAUCUCGACUAAUCUUGUUCAUAGGGGCGGCACAAGCACACGCGACGAGGGCAAGAGAAGCACGUGAGUUCAGGGCAGCAGAAGCACAUGAGAUGAGGGCUGCAGAGGCACGUCUGAGUGUGAUGAGGGCCGCACAAGAACGUCUGAUGAAAGAAGCUCAGGAAAGUGCAAGCCGGCUUAAAGAGAAGGCUGGUGAAGCAUUGGCCAUGCUGUCUAGUGACUCAGAGGCUGUCAAGAGCUUCACGGUUGAAGUAUGUACAGAAGACAAUGUCCAUGGUCUUACUGACUUGCUCGACUCCAGUAUCAAGACCAUCAAGUGUGAAAUAGGUGAAACAGAACCUGUGGAGAUAGAGAUCAACAUUUGUUGCCGUAUUAGUGCCACAGUCAUCUUGAAGCAUUUGAGGAACCGCGACAUGAAACUAACCUUAGAGAAGGUACUCGCGGAAUUGCUUCCUAUACAGGCGGAAGCAAGUAGCACAUCGCAGUGGUGGGGGCGUCUGAUCUCUUGUUCUUGCAUUGCAGCAUUCGGAAACGACAUAGAAAAUCGUUGCUUUCCAGCAUUCAGAAACAACACAGCAAACCCAAGUGAUGGUGGGCACGACGAGCCUUCCACUUCACCGAUUCACCACAUCCAGCAGUGUGGGGAGAGGAGGCUGCAAGCAGAGCUCAUAUCACUUGUCGCGGUGAAUCUUGAAAAUAACAAUUUUGAUUUUGCAGCAAUCUUAAAUUUACCGCCGCGUGCGUCGCCGGUUUCCCUGCUGGAAGAGUUUGUGGUGAAGCUCAAGAAGAUGGUGGAGGACAACAUGUACGCCACCCCUGCGUGCCUGGUGAUACAGAAGCUCGCCUGCAAGAUGGUUACAGGAUUCCUCCAGCAUGAUCGAAACGUUGAAGUGAUUGGCAAUCAAAAUAUUGUUGGCACAUUACUGGACGCUUCAAAGGUGAUGGCCGUGCUUGAGAGCAACAUGCUUUUCACUGGCGUCCAUCAUGACUGCCACGGGGUUCCUCUGAAGCCUUUCUUAUCUGAUCUCGCUAACCAGGCAAAAGAUCUUUUGAAACUGAAGAAACAAGCUGAGAUUCUGGCUCGGGCUCAGCUUCGGCGCACCAACAGUGCGCCUGCCGGUGCAUCACCAACAUGA